UACAGAGGGGGCAAGCGUUAUUCGGAUUCAUUGGGCGUAAAGCGCGCGUAGGCGGCUCCGCAAGUCGGCCGUGAAAUCUCCGGGCUCAACUCGGAGGGGUCGGGCGAGACUGCGAGGCUCGAGGUGGGCAGAGGGCAGUGGAAUUCCGGGUGUAGUGGUGGAAUGCGUAGAGAUCCGGAGGAACACCAGUGGCGAAGGCGGCUGCCUGGGCCUGGCCUGACGCUGAGGCGCGAAAGCGUGGGGAGCAAUCCGGG
rnacentral:rRNA from 1 species